AUUGAACGCUGGCGGCAGGCCUAACACAUGCAAGUCGAGCGGAGCGGCGGACGGGUGAGUAAUGCCUAGGAAUCUGCCUGGUAGUGGGGGAUAACGUCCGGCAACGGGCGCUAAUACCGCAUACUAUCAGAUGAGCCUAGGUCGGAUUGGCUAGUUGGUGGGGUAAAGGCCUACCAGGGCGACGAUCCGUAACUGGUCUGAGAGGAUGAUCAGUCAAACUGGAACGAAGACACGGUCCGAACCCCUACGGGAGGCAGCAGUGGGGAAUAUUGGACAAGGGGCGAAGGCCUGAUGCAGCCAUGCCGCGUGUAUGAGGAGGGUCUUCGGAUUGUAAAGCACUUUAAGUUGGGAGGCGUUACCAACAGAAUAAGCACCGGCUAACUUCGUGCCAGCAGCCGCGGUAAUAC
rnacentral:rRNA from 1 species